rnacentral:rRNA from 1 species
GACGUAGGGCGCGAGCGUUGUCCGGAUUUAUUGGGCGUAAAGAGCUCGUAGGCGGCUUGUUGCGUCGACUGUGAAAACCCGCGGCUUAACUGCGGGCUUGCAGUUGAUACGGGCAGGCUAGAGUUCGGUAGGGGAGACUGGAAUUCCUGGUGUAGCGGUGAAAUGCGCAGAUAUCAGGAGGAACACCGGUGGCGAAGGCGGGUCUCUGGACCGAUACUGACGCUGAGGAGCGAAAGCAUGGGUAGCGAACAGG